GUCUGGAUGUGAAGAAGGUCGAUAAAUGCAUGGGAGACCCAAAUGCUGAUUCUGACCACCCGUUACUUAAAAUGGAACAAGAUGCUCAGAUUGGGAAAGGUUCAAGAAGAGAUGUUACUAUAUUGCCUACACUUGUUGUGAACAACCGGCAAUAUCGAGGGAAGCUUGAGAGGAAAGCUGUCCUCAAAGCUAUUUGUGCUGGUUUUGAGGAAACUACUGAACCAAAUGUUUGCCUGAGUGGUGGUA